AAAGAAGGGGUAGAUCUAAACUGAUUUGGAGGAGAGUAUUACAACAUAAGCAUUACAUGUUUUCGAGGAUUUAACCCAAAAUCAUUCGUUUAGAAUGGAGAAAUAGAAUCUAUCACCGACCCUAAAUUCUUGGGAUAAAAGCUUAAUUAAGUUAAUUUGAGUUUCUUCGAGAGAGACUGCCUAAGUCUUUCAAGCAAGAUGUUGUGCUGGCUAUGGCGCUUGCUUAUGUGGA
rnacentral:misc_RNA from 1 species